rnacentral:rRNA from 1 species
UCGGUGUCGCCUCUUGCAAUAAUGAAUAAGAGGUCCCGCCUGCCCUGUGACUAUAAGUUUAACGGCCGCGGUAUUUUGACCGCGCGAAGGUAGCGCAAUCACUUGUCUCUUAAAUAGAGACCUGUAUGAAUGGCACAACGAGGGCUUAGCUGUCUCCUCCCCUAAGUUAAUGAAAUUGAUCUCCCCGUGCAGAAGCGGGGAUAAACACAUAAGACGAGAAGACCCUAUGAAGCUUUAGACGGAAGGUAGCCCAAAAUACAAUGAACCCCUAACAAGGGGACAAACCAAAAGGACCCCUACCCCGAUGUCUUUGGUUGGGGCGACCGCGGGGAAAGAAAAAACCCCCACGUGGAACGGGAGUACAACUCCUUAAACUAAGAGCCCCAGCUCUAAGAAACAAAAUUUUUGACCUAUAGAUCCGGCAGUGCCGAUCAACGGACCGAGUUACUCUAGGGAUAACAGCGCAAUCCCCUUUUAGAGACCAUAUCAACAAGGGGGUUUACGACCUCGAUGUUGGAUCAGGACAUCCUAUUGGUGCAGCAGCUAUUAAGGGUUCGUUUGUUCAACGAUUAAAGUCCU